rnacentral:tRNA from 1 species
GAGGGUAUAGCUCAAGUGGUAGAGUGCAUGCUUAGCAUGCAAGAGAUCUUGGGUUCAAUCCCUGGUACCUCCA